AACGCACAUUGCGCCCCCUGGUAUUCCGGGGGGCAUGCCUGUCCGAGCGUCAUUGCUGCCCAUCAAGCGCGGCUUGUGUGUUGGGCCCCCGUCCCCCUCCCCGGGGGGACGGGCCCGAAAGGCAGCGGCGGCACCGCGUCCGGUCCUCGAGCGUAUGGGGCUCUGUCACCCGCUCUGGAGGCCCGGCCGGCGCCCGCCGACCCCAACCUUUUAUUUACCAGGUUGACCUCGGAUCAGGUAGGGAUACCCGCUGAACUUAA
rnacentral:misc_RNA from 1 species